UUCUUAUCCAGAGAGGUUGAGGGAAUGGCCCGAAGACACCUCAGCAACCAGCAGCGCUCGAUUAAACGGACGCUGAAAAGGUGCUAAUUCCAGUGAGCUGUGAUGCUUACAGAGAUGAGAA
rnacentral:ncRNA from 2 species